UUGCCAUUUCCAUGAAAACAAAAGGCUCUCUCACAAGAACACACAAAAACAAGUACUUUCAAAUAAUACUAUAAAUAUAUAAUAGAUGUGAAGCUUUGAAAGAUUAUGGAGGAUUCUUCUUCUUCUUCUUCGCCUGCAGGCAGAUUCUUGAAAAAUACUCACUCACUCAGUUCAAAGCAAAAUGUGUUAUAGAAGAGAAGAUCAGAUGGUUUAAGCAAAAGAAGUUAAGAACAAGGGAAGACCAAACCUCUAAUUACUAGUCACUCAUCAAUGUUGGAGGGUGGGCACCUGAUCAGUAAGUAACGAGUAAUGAAAGCUCCCAGAGCUGAAGUUCAGGAUUGAAGAUCAAGACCAUUUGAGGGGAACGUUAAUCGCAGAAGCUUGGGGUCUUGAAAUGGAUCCAUUUCUGUUUUUCCUUUUGCUCUUUUACCUUACUUCUAGUACUUUGAUAUUCUAUCAUUCACAUAAAAAUGGUUCAAAUUUUGGUUAUCUAAUAUUUUAUUUGAUUAAGUUAUAAUUAAAAAACAAAAUUAGUUAUAUAAUUCAAAUUAUAGCCUUCAUCUACUUAUUAAAUAUAAUUUUCUCUUUUCUCCUUCUCAAGUGAAAUUUUUUAUAAAAAAAAUCAUUUAUCUUUUGACCACGACAACAUUAAAUUAACCAAUAUAAUAAAAAUAAAGGUGUAUUUGGAGCUAAAAGUCGAGUGGGCUAUAAUACUCCACUCUUUGUUUAGGACAAUGUUGGAGAUUAGAAUUAGGAUUUAAAAUAACUCAUAUGUUCUUACUAUUCUUCAAUCUCAAGGGUAUUUAUUUCAAGGAUUGAGAAGUUUAAGUAGUAAAAUUUUCGAACAUCACCUUCGGUAAUUGUCAUUGGUCAAUCUUCGACCACCACCUAUGGUGACUCCAUCGACGACCUUCGACAACCAACUCUGGUUACCACAGUCAACCAAGCUUUGGUUGCCAUCAACCAACCUUAUUAAAAAAAAAUUUUAGGAUACAUAACAAACCAAAGAUACUUAUACAUACAAGUACCUUUUUAAAAAAAAAUUAAAACUUUCCAAUAAUUGAUAUUACGUUUUUUUAAAUUAUUAUUAUUGUUAGGUUAUCUUUUUAAAAUUAUCUCUCUUCCCUCCUUUGUUUAAAAUUAAUGUUUUUGGGAUAAUGCUAGUAUAAAUAUAGUGACAUUGUAUAUAAAUCAAAUAAACUACAUUUGUGUGUUGUAUAUAUGUAUGUGUGUAUGCGUGUGUAUAAUUAAGAAUAUUUAGUUUGGCUAUGUAUAAUUAAGAAUAUUUAGUUUGGCUAUGUAUAAUUAAGAAUAUUUAGUUAGCUAUAUGUAUAAAAUCCUUAAUUUAGGAACAUUUUUCACUUUUUUGUUGGUCAAUUUAAUUGGCUUGAAGAUCUAGAAUCAUCUUUUAAAAUUAAAAAUUACAAUGCUGAAAAAACUUAGCAGCCAAAUAAAAAUAAAAAUGUAGAACUUUUUUAUUCUUCAAAUAUAAUUUGAUAAAAAAAAUAUAUAACUUUCGAAUGAUUGAAUUCAAGAUUAAAAUACUAGUUUAUUUCCCUUUGAAGUUAGCAUAUUAUGGUAAAAACAAAAAUCAUGAUCUUAUCAAGAACAACAUAAUUAACCAUAAUUAAUAAAAUCACAGGUCAAUUUGUAUAAAAAAGCUUAUAUGAUAAAAUUUUAUAACACGUACGUGCAUCCCACUUAGUAAUAAACUAGUUUGUAUAAAUUGGUGUGGAAUGUAUAGUUUGAGCUAUGUUUUUAAAAAACGAUAUUUCAUGUACCUACAUAUAUGACAAAACAAAAUAGUAGGGCAAAAAAAAAAAAAAAACAUGAUCUAAGGUAACCAAUAUUUAUUUUAUAGACUGCUAUAAUUUGGACUAUAAUAAUUUGCACCACAAACGCAGACUAUAAUAACCCAGAUUAUAAUACUUUGCAUCUUGACACACAGAAUAUAAUAACAUACAGUUUAUUAUCAUCCAUAGACUAUAAUAAUUGCAAAAAAAGAAAAAAUUGCAACGCAUUAUGACAAAAAUUUAUUUAUUACAUGUGUUGGUGAAAAACCUUAGUCACUAAACACUUGUCUAAUCUUUCUAUGUUUUGUUUUAUCCCCCCAGGUAGCAAAGGACGUCCAGCGUUUGACUUGUCGUCUUGGUUGCCUAUUGUGCCAUAAACGUGUUGCAUCAUCUUGUUAGUAAUCACUGUUAACUCGUAUAUAGCAUGUAAAGUUAGGCAAGCAGAACCAAAUGUUUUUUUAGACUUGUAUCAUGUUGUGAAAACUUCUUGUACUUGUUUAAAAUGUACUCUUAAUAAUAUAAAUGAAGUAUUUGUUAUUCCAAAAA